AUUGAACGCUGGCGGCAGGCCUAACACAUGCAAGUCGAACGGUAACAGGAAGCAGCUUGCUGCUUUGCUGACGAGUGGCGGACGGGUGAGUGAUGUCUGGGAAACUGCCCGAUGGAGGGGGAUAACUACUGGAAACGGUAGCUAAUACCGCAUAACGUCGCAAGACCAAAGAGGGGGACCUUAGGGCCUCUUGCCAUCGGAUGUGCCCAGAUGGGAUUAGCUAGUAGGUGGGGUAACGGCUCACCAAGGCGACGAUCCCUAGCUGGUCUGAGAGGAUGACCAGCCACACUGGAACUGAGACACGGUCCAGACUCCUACGGGAGGCAGCAGUGGGGAAUAUUGCACAAUGGGCGCAAGCCUGAUGCAGCCAUGCCGCGUGUAUGAAGAAGGCCUUCGGGUUGUAAAGUACUUUCAGCGGGGAGGAAGGGAGUAAAGUUAAUACCUUUGCUCAUUGACGUUACCCGCAGAAGAAGCACCGGCUAACUCCGUG
rnacentral:rRNA from 1 species